rnacentral:rRNA from 1 species
GAGGUUAAUAGGUUCGAGGUGGAAGCAUGGUGACAUGUGGAGCUGACGAAUACUAAUCGAUCGAAGACUUAAUCAA